GGAUAACCUGGAUGGAGGAGGACUCUUCUCCAACUCUGUGCUGUGUCCUGGCACAGCUUGUUUGGUCAUGAUCAUCAGGAAGAGUUCUUUAGUGAGCUCUCACUCUCCUUCCAGACCCUUUUGGGCAAUCUCUCCUCCGUGUUCUCUGAGGAGAGAGCAGUUACCAGGACAACAGAGAAUUUGAGGAAGUUUUAAUUGUGAUUUCAUGUCUAACCAGAAGAAAGAGCUAGUGCCUUUAUAUUCUAGGUUCCCAAGCAAAUGUCAAUGUGCAUAUUUAUUACUCUUGGUCUACCUCAUCAUAAAAAGGAUUUCAAGGUAGCGUGCAAUUUUCCCCUUUAAUAUGAGAGAAGAAAAGGAGGAUGGUGAGGACAGCAUCCUUCCAGAAGAGCACAGUGGUCUCUGAAGCUGACAAGUUGUCCCCCAUGGGUACAGUGUGUCAGCUGCUCUGCUUCUCAAAUCUCCCUCUGCACAUGCCUUGGGGUCCACAGAGAACAUCUUCCUGGACAUGAUGUGCCCCUCUGCCAUGUGCCACUCUGCCUUGGAGCCAGCCAACUAUGG
rnacentral:lncRNA from 1 species